rnacentral:rRNA from 1 species
GAAUAUUGGACAAUGGGCGCAAGCCUGAUCCAGCCAUGCCGCGUGAGUGAUGAAGGCCCUAGGGUUGUAAAGCUCUUUCACCGGUGAAGAUAAUGACGGUAGCCGUAGAAGAAGCCCCGGCUAACUUCGUGCCAGCAGCCGCGGUAAUACGAAGGGGGCUAGCGUUGUUCGGAAUUACUGGGCGUAAAGCGCUCGUAGGCGGAUCGAUCAGUCAGGGGUGAAAUCCCAGGGCUCAACCCUGGAACUGCCUUUGAUACUGUCGAUCUAGAGUCCGGAAGAGGUGAGUGGAAUUGCGAGUGUAGAGGUGAAAUUCGUAGAUAUUCGCAGGAACACCAGUGGCGAAGGCGGCUCACUGGUCCGGUACUGACGCUGAGGAGCGAAAGCGUGGGGAGCAAACAGG